rnacentral:rRNA from 1 species
UACGUAGGGUGCGAGCGUUUGUCCGGAAUUACUGGGCGUAAAGAGCUCGUAGGUGGUUUGUCGCGUUUGUUCGUGAAAACCGGGGGCUUAACCCUCGGCGUGCGGGCGAUACGGGCAGACUGGAGUACUGCAGGGGAGACUGGAAUUCCUGGUGUAGCGGUGGAAUGCGCAGAUAUCAGGAGGAACACCGGUGGCGAAGGCGGGUCUCUGGGCAGUAACUGACGCUGAGGAGCGAAAGCGUGGGGAGCGAACAGG